rnacentral:lncRNA from 1 species
AAAGGUCUGUGAGGUGAGUUCAGCACCACAAAGCUGGUUACCCCAGAGAAAUUGUAGAGACUGACUGGUUCUGUUGGAGCUUUCUCUAAGGGCUGGAUGGGGAACAUCCCUGGCUCUGGGGGCCCUCACAGUCUCAGCUACCUAGUCUUUUCACAACCUUUUAAGAGUGUGAAGACCAUCCUUAGCUUCUAAGACAGGGAAGUGGACGAGGCUUGUCUUUGAGGCUAGUGUGUCAACCCCACUAGUAAAGGGGUUGCUGUGGAUCAUUUAGGGAAAGGGCUGAUGGAGGGUGAGGCCGACCAGCAGGCUCUUCCCGUGCUCAGCGCCUCCUGUUACCAGCCUUUUCUCCCCCACCGUCUCCUCUCCCCCUCCCCCUUAUUCUAGAAGGAAUUAGAAACACUGUGGCAUAAAAAGUUAGCAGCUAAAGCACAGCAGUUGUCGCCCUUCAGGGCCUGUAAGAAACUUCAAGUGGAAGUUCCUUCCGGGUCACGAGAGAAGUGUCAACACCUGGGGCCGGGGGCAGGAGGGGGGACCUCUCUGGUCAUCCCUGCAACUUUUUAGGUACACCCCACUUGAGGUGGUUGUGGUUUGGGGGCUGAGUUCCCAGGAAGGCAACGUGGCGGGUUCCAGGCCUCAGAAGCACCAGGAUACAUUUAGUUUAAAAAAUGACAAGUUUGAAAAGAGUGCUCAGACCAAGUGUUCAAUGUCCACAGCACACGGUGAAGGAUUCCUGCCACAGGAUGCAUAGAUCACGGGCCUCGGAUCUAUGCAAAGUUUGAGCAAAAUGUGGAAAGAAAGAAGACAUUGUUAUUCCAUUUAAUGAAGAUCCAGAAAAGACAGGAAAUUUUGAAAAUAAUGCAGGUUACAACCAUAUAAGAAACUGCAAAAGCUAAAGAAUAGGGAAUUUUGACCAACUUUUGCCUUUGAGGGGCUCACAAAAAAAUAUUGUGACAUCCUAAUGAAAUCAGAAGAAACUAUAGAAAAACAUGUAAAAUAUAUACAUGAACAAUAUAAAUUGUUUAAAAUGUUUGGAUAAUUAUCAAACUUUCAUCCAGAGUUUCCUUAGAACAAAUUUUUUAGGUUGCAUAUACUAGAAUAAUAUCUGCCAAAACACAUAUUGAAGUAUCCUGUUACAGUUUGUGAGAAUUAUUUAAAAGAAUGUUUUACCUAAAUACAUAAAUGUAUUUGUUAUCAAAGUAAGCAAGACUCAGAAUUGGU